rnacentral:sRNA from 1 species
GCCAGGUGUGGUAGUGCACACCUGUAAUCCCAGCAACUCAGGAGGCUGAGGCAGGAGGACAACAAGUGCCAGGCCAGCUUCAGAAAUGUAGCAAGGCCCUAAGCAACAUAGAGAAAUCCUGUCUCAA